UACGAAGGGGGCUAGCGUUGCUCGGAAUCACUGGGCGUAAAGCGCACGUAGGCGGCUUGUUAAGUCAGGGGUGAAAUCCUGGAGCUCAACUCCAGAACUGCCUUUGAUACUGGCGAGCUUGAGUCCGGGAGAGGUGAGUGGAACUGCGAGUGUAGAGGUGAAAUUCGUAGAUAUUCACAAGAACACCAGUGGCGAAGGCGGCUCACUGGCCCGGUACUGACGCUGAGGUGCGAAAGCGUGGGGAGCAAACAGG
rnacentral:rRNA from 1 species